GUUCGGGUUGUCAUGCCAAUGGCACUGCCCGGUAGCUAAAUGCGGAAGAGAUAAGUGCUGAAAGCAUCUAAGCACGAAACUUGCCCCGAGAUGAGUUCUCCCUGAGACUUAGAGUCUCCUGAAGGAACGUUGAAGACGACGACGUUGAUAGGCCGGGUGUGUAAGCGCAGCGAUGCGUUGAGCUAACCGGUACUAAUGAACCGUGAGGCUUAACCUUAC
rnacentral:rRNA from 1 species